rnacentral:rRNA from 1 species
UGGGUAAUGCUUUGAUCCCGAGAGAUCGGUACCAAUGGAAUCAGGCUUGUUCUUGAUUUCAAUCGGUUUCUCACCCCAUCUAAGCUCAUGGAGAGGUGUCUAGUCCCAAUNGGAGUCGCUUUGAGUGACGGCUAUGAAAAUUGGGUAUGUUCCCCGUGAGGGUCGAGCAUAGACUUUAUGAACAGUGCUGGAGCUGUCGCCUCACCAAAAAAUCAUCGAUAACUGGUGGCUAUGUGUGACAUUAGUCACAUAGGUAUCUGCUGAUGCAGAGAGCCUUAAUGAGUUGUUCGUGUCAUCUGACCUACAACCGCCACUAUCGGUAAAUCAAACCAAUUAACUUGUUUCUUGUGUCGUGUUAAUACAUACUGGCAAAGUGUAUUAGCUUUAGCGAUGGAUCGGUUGAUUCGCGUAUCGAUGAAAAACGCAGCAAGCUGCGUUAUUUACCACGAAUUGCAGACGCUUAGAGUGGUGAAGUUUUGAACGCACAGCGCCGUUGGGUUUUCCCUUCGGCACGUCUGGCUCAGGGUUGUUUAAUAAGCGAAAGUGUUGAAAGUUCAUUAAACGAGAGUUCGGUGAUACUGACAACACUGCGUCGAUCGGUGUACUGUUGAAAGUACCCCGUUCAAGUAUCUUUAUGGUGCAACAUGUCUUCUAUACGGAGACAUGAAAGAUAUUAAGAGUAUAUACCUGUGGAUGCCCACGUAUGAAAUAUGACGUGUCGUAUACAUGGCUAGGAGGUAUGUCUCAGAUGAAUUUGUUUAUGCAACCUGAGCUCAGUCGUGAUUACCCGCCGAACUUAAGCAUAUCAUCAG